CGAGGCUGUUGAGCGGCCGCAAGCGCGUUCAGCGUUUGAGGAAAGUCCGAGCUCCGCAGGGCAGGGUGCCGGGUAACGCCCGGUGGAGGCGACUCCAAGGAAAGUGCAACAGAGAUAUACCGCCCGGCUAAGCAAGUGUUUAUACCGAUUGCAUAAUCGGCAUUGACCAGCUUCCGGGUAAGGGUGGAAAGGCGAGGUAAGAGCUCACCGGCGGCAUGGCGACUUGACCGUCCUGUAAACCCCACCUGGUGCAAGAUUGAUAGAGGAGCAUAUGUGGCGGCCCGUCACGCUCCUGGGUAAUCGCCCGAAUCCGCCGGUAACGGCGGAUCUAGAUAGAUGGCCGUUCGCGACAGAACUCGGCUUACAGACAGCGCUCGUAAA
rnacentral:RNase_P_RNA from 1 species